rnacentral:rRNA from 1 species
AGUGAACGCUGGCGGUAGGCAUAACACAUGCAAGUCGAACGGCAGCACAGUAAGAGCUUGCUCUUACGGGUGGCGAGUGGCGGACGGGUGAGGAAUACAUCGGAAUCUACUUUUUCGUGGGGGAUAACGUAGGGAAACUUACGCUAAUACCGCAUACGACCUACGGGUGAAAGCAGGGGAUCUUCGGACCUUGCGCGAUUGAAUGAGCCGAUGUCGGAUUAGCUAGUUGGCGGGGUAAAGGCCCACCAAGGCGACGAUCCGUAGCUGGUCUGAGAGGAUGAUCAGCCACACUGGAACUGAGACACGGUCCAGACUCCUACGGGAGGCAGCAGUGGGGAAUAUUGGACAAUGGGCGCAAGCCUGAUCCAGCCAUACCGCGUGGGUGAAGAAGGCCUUCGGGUUGUAAAGCCCUUUUGUCGGGAAAGAAAAGCAGCAGGUUAAUACCCCGCUGUUCUGACGGUACCCAAAGAAUAAGCACCGGCUAACUUCGUG